AUACGGAGGGUGCAAGCGUUAAUCGGAAUCACUGGGCGUAAAGCGCGCGCAGGCGGUCUUUUAAGUUGGAUGUGAAAGCCUACGGCUCAACCGUAGAACUGCAUCCAAAACUAUUAGACUAGAGUGUGGGAGAGGAAGAUGGAAUUAGUUGUGUAGGGGUAAAAUCCGUAGAGAUAACUAGGAAUACCAAAAGCGAAGGCAAUCUUCUGGAACACUACUGACGCUGAGGCGCGAAAGCGUGGGGAGCAAACAGGAUUAGAAACCCUAGUAGUCC
rnacentral:rRNA from 1 species